AACGAACGCUGGCGGCAGGCUUAACACAUGCAAGUCGAGCGGGCCCUUCGGGGUCAGCGGCGGACGGGUGAGUAACACGUGGGAACGUACCCUUUGGUUCGGAAUAACGCUGGGAAACUAGCGCUAAUACCGGAUACGCCCUUUUGGGGAAAGGCUUGCUGCCGAAGGAUCGGCCCGCGUUGGAUUAGCUAGUUGGUGGGGUAAUGGCCUACCAAGGCGACGAUCAGUAGCUGGUCUGAGAGGAUGAUCAGCCACACUGGGACUGAGACACGGCCCAGACUCCUACGGGAGGCAGCAGUGGGGAAUAUUGGACAAUGGGCGCAAGCCUGAUCCAGCCAUGCCGCGUGAGUGAUGAAGGCCUUAGGGUUGUAAAGCUCUUUUGUCCGGGACGAUAAUGGCGGUACCGGAAGAAUAAGCCCCGGCUAACUUCGUG
rnacentral:rRNA from 1 species